GUGGGGAAUCUUCCGCAAUGGACGAAAGUCUGACGGAGCAACGCCGCGUGAGUGAUGAAGGUCUUCGGAUUGUAAAGCUCUGUUAAUCGGGACGAAAGAGCCUAGUGUGAAUAAUGCUAGGAAGUGACGGUACCGGAAUAGAAAGCCACGGCUAACUACGUGCCAGCAGCCGCGGUAAUACGUAGGUGGCAAGCGUUGUCCGGAAUUAUUGGGCGUAAAGCGCGCGCAGGCGGAUCUGCCAGUCUGUCUUAAAAGUUCGGGGCUUAACCCCGUGAUGGGAUGGAAACUACAGAUCUAGAGUAUCAGAGAGGAAAGUGGAAUUCCUAGUGUAGCGGUGAAAUGCGUAGAUAUUAGGAAGAACACCAGUGGCGAAGGCGACUUUCUGGACGAAAACUGACGCUGAGGCGCGAAAGCCAGGGGAGCGAACGGGAUUAGAAACCCGGGUAGUCC
rnacentral:rRNA from 1 species